CGAAAGCCUGACGGAGCAACGCCGCGUGAGGGACGAAGGCCUCUGGGCUGUAAACCUCUUUUCUCAAGGAAGAAGAUAUGACGGUACUUGAGGAAUAAGCCACGGCUAAUUCCGUGCCAGCAGCCGCGGUAAUACGGGAGUGGCAAGCGUUAUCCGGAAUUAUUGGGCGUAAAGCGUCCGCAGGCGGCUUAUCAAGUCUGCUGUUAAAGCGUGGAGCUUAACUCCAUCAUGGCAGUGGAAACUGAUAGGCUUGAGUAUGGUAGGGGCAGAGGGAAUUCCCGGUGUAGCGGUGAAAUGCGUAGAUAUCGGGAAGAACACCAGUGGCGAAGGCGCUCUGCUGGGCCAUUACUGACGCUCAUGGACGAAAGCCAGGGGAGCGAAAG
rnacentral:rRNA from 1 species